rnacentral:rRNA from 1 species
CCUACGGGAGGCAGCAGUGAGGAAUAUUGGUCAAUGGACGAGAGUCUGAACCAGCCAAGUAGCGUGAAGGAUGACUGCCCGAUGGGUUGUAAACUUCGUUUAUAUGGGAAUAAAAUGUUCCACGUGUGGGAUUUUGUAUGUACCAUAUGAAUAAGGAAAGGCUAACUCCGGGCCAGCAGCCGCGGUAAUAAGGAGGAUCCGAGCGUUAACCGGAUUUAUUGGGUUUAAAGGGAGCGGAGGUGGCUUGUUAAGUCAGUUGUGAAAGUUUGCGGCUCCACCGUAAAAUUGCAGUUGAAACGGGCAGUCUUGAGUACAGUAGAGGUGAGCGGAAUUCGUGGUGUAGCGG